rnacentral:rRNA from 1 species
UACGGGGGGGGCAAGCGUUGUUCGGAAUUACUGGGCGUAAAGGGCUCGUAGGCGGCCAACUAAGUCAGACGUGAAAUCCCUCGGCUUAACCGGGGAACUGCGUCUGAUACUGGAUGGCUUGAGAUUGGGAGAGGGAUGCGGAAUUCCUGGUGUAGCGGUGAAAUGCGCAGAUAUCAGGAAGAACACCCGUGGCGAAGGCGGCUCUCUGGACAGAGUCUGACGCUGAGGCGCGAAAGCUAGGGGAGCAAACAGG